UACGUAGGAUGCAAGCGUUAUCCGGAAUUAUUGGGCGUAAAGAGCUCGUAGGCGGUCUGUCGCGUCGAAUGUGAAAACCCGGGACUCAACUCCGGGCCUGCAUUCGAUACGGGCAGACUAGAGUUCGGUAGGGGAGACUGGAAUUCCUGGUGUAGCGGUGAAAUGCGCAGAUAUCAGGAGGAACACCGGUGGCGAAGGCGGGUCUCUGGGCCGAUACUGACGCUGAGGAGCGAAAGCGUGGGGAGCAAACAGG
rnacentral:rRNA from 1 species